rnacentral:rRNA from 1 species
AAUACGUAUGGUGCAAGCGUUAUCCGGAUUUACUGGGUGUAAAGGGAGCGUAGACGGAUGGGCAAGUCUGAUGUGAAAACCCGGGGCUCAACCCCGGGACUGCAUUGGAAACUGUUCAUCUAGAGUGCUGGAGAGGUAAGUGGAAUUCCUAGUGUAGCGGUGAAAUGCGUAGAUAUUAGGAGGAACACCAGUGGCGAAGGCGGCUUACUGGACAGUAACUGACGUUGAGGCUCGAAAGCGUGGGGAGCAAACA